CUAUAUAAAGAGCUGCAACAAGGGUGGAAUCUCAUCGUUCUCCCGAUAUUUUUUUUCCCACACGGCUAGGGUUAUUGUUUUUGAAUAUUUUUUUCCCACAAGGUACUGGACACCCAAAUAAAUCGGGCUUUUUGGCUUUGCUGCAAACUAACAUUCGGAGAAAUCAGAAAUGUUUUCAAGUUGUAUAUGAUAUAUCCUCGCAGUUGCUGAUGAAAAAAUGAAAUGGGAUCUUUGGGUUCACUUUUAAGGUUUAUAUUGAUCCGUCGGAACACAAGGACGUGGAAUUACAUGCGGGGUGGUCAAGAUUGAUGGUGGCACAAGAUCGUUCGACUUCCGAGGAUGUAAAACUAUUAAUCAAGAGCCAAAAAAAAUAGUUGAAGGCUGCAGUUGAUGAGAUUGAGAGACUUGAGAUCAAAUGCGGUCUUUACCCCGAGACUGCGGCGGCUAACACUUACCGAGGUAAAAAACAAGCAGAAGAAAAUCGAGAAACGGUCGGCGUGGGCUUCAAAGAAUGCUGAGAAGUGCAUAAAGGCAUUCACUUUAGAAGAGUAUUUGAAAGAGAAAGAGGAUAGCAAAUGAAAAGUGUGUAGGAUACGCUAAUCAUAUUUUUUGUGAGUUAAAAUUAUUUAGUCUUUGGAUGCAUAAUCAAGUUAAUUGUGCUAUCAUUUUUUAAAGUUUAUUAGACAAAAUUUUUAGCAAGCUCUUAUCAUGGUGUAAGACACCAGACUCAGAUCAAAUAGAAC